rnacentral:rRNA from 1 species
CGGGAGGCUGCAGGGGGCAAUUUUGAGCAAUGGUGGAAAACGUGAUCCAGCAUUACGCAGUGAGUGAAGAAGGCUUUUGGGUUUUUUAGGUCUUUUAUCUGGGAAGAAACACCAGCUAUAUCCCAGUCUGGGAAUGACGGUGCUUCUAGAAUAAUCACCGGCUAAUUACUUUCCAGCAGCCGCGGUAAUAAUUCGGGUGCGACCGUUAUUCUCAAUUUUUGGGCGUAAAGCGUGCGCAGGCGGUUAUACAAUACAUGCGUGAAAUCCCCGGUCUUAUCCUGGCAAUCGCGCCUGUGACUGUAUUCCUAGAGUGUUUUAGAGGGGGGUAAAAUUCCUUGUGUAGCAGUGAAAUGAGUAGAUAUGUUGAGGAAUACCAACGGUGAAGGCAGCCCUCUUGGAUAACAGUGACGCUCAUGCGGCAAAGCGUGGGGAGCAACCAACAUUAUAUACCCUCGUAGUACUCCCCCUAAUAAAUGAUGAAUAGUUGUUGGGGAUCUUCCUCCUCAGUAACGCAGCUAACGCGU